GGCAUCGAGACGCUCGCGAUGCGGCCGGUGCGGGCGCUGCGAGGGGAUCCAAUCGAUGCGCGCGCGAUCGAUCUUCAUUGGGGAUCCGCCCGACGCGCGCGAGGGGAUCCCAUGGCGCACGAUGUGGGUGACGCCUCAUCUGAUGGAAACUGCUCCGCUGACACUCUAAAGAUGCAAUCACACUUCAGUUAUGGAGCGCGCAUUCAUGGCGGCUGCCGAUCCUUUCCGAUGCCGAGGAGUACAGGUACGUGUAUAUAUUCCUCCUUUCCUGUCACUCUUCGCCCACCCUUUCCACUCCAGCUGCACAACAUCUUUCAGCAAGCCGAGGCAGGCCACGGCGACUGAUCCCCGCUGAGUGCACUGCCUUCUCAGUCGCGGGGCAUGCGGGUGAGGCAGGCCGUGACACUUGGAUUUCGUGGGAGAACCGAAGCAGCCCUAUGGCUAUUCGGUGAAGCCGACGACUGAAUCUCAUCUGCCAGGUUGAAAGAGGCGAUGAAUCAUCAGUUCUUGGAAGUGUUAACGACAACUGAUGUGCGCUGCCGUUCACCUGCAUCGUUUAGUGGAGAUAUACAUUGUUAUUUUCCUGGCCUGCAGCUGCUUGACUUCAUGCGCCUGAAUAUGUAACUUUCCGUCCUUCUCUGACUAUAGCAGCUAUGGUUCACGGUUGUAUUGCCCACUAUCUUUAUUUUUCUCUUUCCCCUACAAUUCCCUUUCCACUCAGCAAUUCUUUUCUGCUAAUGUCUUUCUAAACUCAGUUUGUACAGGGGUUUGUCAAUCCUGGAUCUGGUCAACUAUUUGAUUCAGACAGAUCAUGGAGGCUGGUUCUCAUAUUUUGCUUGGUGAAUUCUUCAAUGCACAAUUUGCCAUGGCUGCUGAUCAGCACAUGACCACUUCUCAAGAGAAGGCAAACUACCUACAUGCAACAAUUAUAAUCUCACUGGCCCCUUGAGUCAUUCCAGUCCUACAAUGUUCAAAAAAUAUGUGUAAACAAAUUGAUGGCUAAAGUAGACCUGAAGGUCAAGGAAGCUAUCCUUAUAUAUUUAGAAUCCCAUCUAUGCAUACAUAUGUACCGGACCAUCUACGAUAUUCAUAAUCUGUGUCCUAAGACAACAAGCUAUACCAUGAUUAUCUAAGCUUGCAUUGUGUUGCAUGUCCUUUUCUCAAAUGGAUGUUCUUACGCAUUUGCCCCUUGUUAUACAAGCUGCACACAGAAAGUAUGUAUUUAUUAUUUGAUAUGUUCACUUAGUAUGUGAAAUUCAUAUUUCAUAUACUUAUCUACUGCUAAAAGACAACUACUGCUACAAUAGCACGAUAAUUUU